rnacentral:rRNA from 1 species
ACGUAGGAGGCGAGCGUUAUCCGGAUUCACUGGGUGUAAAGCGCGUGCAGGCGGUUCGGUAAGUUGGGCGUGAAAUCUCCUGGCUCAACUAGGAGAGGUCGUUCAAUACUACCGGACUCGAGAGUGGUAGAGGAAGAUGGAAUUCCCGGUGUAGUGGUGAAAUGCGUAGAUAUCGGGAGGAACACCAGUGGCGAAGGCGAUCUUCUGGACCAUUUCUGACGCUCAGACGCGACAGCUAGGGUAGCAAACGGGAUUAGAGACCCCGGUAGUCCUAGCCGUAAACGAUGUGAACUUGGCGUCGGUGGGUUAAACUCCAUCGGUGCCGAAGCUAACGCGAUAAGUUCACCACCUGGGGACUACGGCCGCAAGGUUA